rnacentral:tRNA from 1 species
GGGAGGUAAAGGUAAAUUGGUAUUAACAAUUUUUUAUUCUACUAUAACUCUCUGCGGGUUCGAUUCCCGCACCUCCCA